GAUGAAGAACGUAGCGAAAUGCGAUAAGUAAUGUGAAUUGCAGAAUUCAGUGAAUCAUCGAAUCUUUGAACGCACAUUGCGCCCGCCAGUAUUCUGGCGGGCAUGCCUGUUCGAGCGUCAUUUCAACCCUCAAGCCCAGCUUGGUGUUGGGGAUCGGCACAGGCGCCCUCGGGCGCCCGCCGUCCCCUAAAUCUAGUGGCGGUCCCGCUGCAGCCUCCUCUGCGUAGUAGUUUUACAACUCGCAUCGGGUCCCGGCGGAGGCCAGCCGUCAAACCCCCCAACUUCAAUAGUUUGACCUCGGAUCAGGUAGGGUUACCCGCUGAACUUAAGCAUAUCAAUAAGCGGAGGA
rnacentral:misc_RNA from 1 species